GCCAGGCGCGGUGGCGCGAGCCUAUAGUCCCAGAUACUCGGGAGGCUGAGGUGGGAAGAUCCCUUGAGCCCAGGAGUUCUGGGCUGUAGUGCGCUAUGCCGAUCGGGUGUUCGCACUAAGUUUGGCAUCAAUAUGGUGACCUCCUGGGAGCAGGGGACCACCAGGUUGUCUAAGGAGGGGUGAACCGGCCCAGGUCGGAAACGGAGCAGGUCAAAACUCCCGUGCUGAUCAGUAGUGGGAUCGCGCCUGUGAAUAGCCUAAUGUAACAUAGCAAGACCCCGUCUCU
rnacentral:SRP_RNA from 1 species